UUUCCGUAGGUGAACCUGCGGAAGGAUCAUUAUUGAAUAAACAGUGUGGGUUGUUGCUGGCCUUCUGGCAUGUGCACGCCUGCCAUAUGUUUCAUUCCCUUCUUUCCACCUGUGCACUAUGUGUAGGCUAUGUAUGCUGUAUUGUCAGGCCCUUCAUAAGGCUUGGUUUAGAGAGGAUGCUUGUCUUUAUGAGACAGGCUCAUCUUGGGCGUACAGGUCUAUGUCUUACACCAACACCAAAUGAAUGUCUUAGAAUGUAUUUUUUCAGGCUCUUGCUAGCCUUUAAACCAUAUACAACUUUCAACAACGGAUCUCUUGGCUCUC
rnacentral:misc_RNA from 1 species